rnacentral:rRNA from 1 species
GAUGAACGCUGGCGGCGUGCUUAACACAUGCAAGUCGAACGAGAAGUGAAGACGGAAACCUUCGGGCGGAAGGCUUUAUUUCGAGUGGCGGACGGGUGAGUAACGCGUGGGUAACCUGCCUCAUUCAGGGGGAUAACAGUUGGAAACGACUGUUAAUACCGCAUAAGACCACAGCACCGCAUGGUGCGGGGGUAAAAACUCCGGUGGUAUGAGAUGGACCCGCGUUCGAUUAGCCAGUUGGCGGGGUAACGGCCCACCAAAGCGACGAUCGAUAGCCGAUCUGAGAGGAUGACCGGACACACUGGGACUGAGACACGGCCCAAACUCCUACGGGAGGCAGCAGUGGGGAAUAUUGCACAAUGGGGGAAACCCUGAUGCAGCGACGCCGCGUGAGUGAAGAAGUAUUUCGGUAUGUAAAGCUCUAUCAGCAGGGAAGAAAAUGACGGUACCUGAGUAAGAAGCCCCGGCUAACUACGUG